GAUGAACGCUGGCGGCGUGCCUAACACAUGCAAGUCGAACGAUGAACCAGGGCUUGCCCUGGGGAUUAGUGGCGAACGGGUGAGUAACACGUGGGCAACCUGCCCCAGACACCGGGAUAACCUCUCGAAAGAGUGGCUAAUACCGGAUACGACCACUUUGGGCAUCCAACGGUGGUGGAAAGGAUUCUGGUCUGGGAUGGGCCCGCGGCCUAUCAGCUUGUGGGUGGGGUAAUGGCCUACCAAGGCGACGACGGGUAGCCGGCCUGGGAGGGGGACCGGCCACACUGGGGCUGAGACACGGCCCAGACUCCUACGGGAGGCAGCAGUGGGGAAUAUUGCGCAAUGGGCGAAAGCCUGACGCAGCGACGCCGCGUGAGGGACGAAGGUCUUCGGAUUGUAAACCUCUUUCAGUAGGGACGAAGCGAAAGUGACUGUACCUGCAGAAGAAGCACCGGCUAACUACGUGCCAGCCGCCGCGGUAA
rnacentral:rRNA from 1 species